AGGAUUUUGCAAUUGCAGAUCAAUAUGCUGAUGAAGAAGAUUUAAGUGACGGUGAGAGCGGCCGUUGUGGAUGUCUUCCCGAGUGCCACGAAGUUAAUUACGAUGCGGAUGUUGUUACAUCAAAACUUGAUCUGCAAGAAUUUAAGAAAAGAUACAAACAACUCCAAAAUAACAUUAAAAGCUAUACAUAUGAUAACGGUAAUUCACAGAAGAGUUACGAGACCAAGAAGAACAGCACAAAUGACAAAAAUGACACUGAUAUUGAUGUUUUUGCUUCUGAUGAAUUGGUCGGAAUGACAGUGAUCAGGAUCUACUACAGACGGCCCCGCUUCGUGGCCAUGGCGCGCUCGGAGAUGGUUGGGCUGUCACAGUUCUUGGCCGACGUCGGCGGGACGCUCGGACUCUUCCUUGGCUUUUCCUUCCUCACGCUCGCCGAGAUCUUCUACUUCUUCUCGAUCAAAUUGUGUUGCACGUUUCAACAAGAAAACUCAAAGAAAGGUGAAAAUUCAUAAGAUUGACGGUAUCUAGAUCGGUCAUCUAAAAAUACAUUAACAUUAACUACUGUA